CACCAUCUGGAAGAUCUAAACCCAUGAUACGGCCAUGAGGUUCUAACAAUCCUGUGUAGACCGCAAAAUUAGCAGGACUUCCAGAAUAAGUAUCUAAUAUAUGAAUAAUACCAAAUUGGGUAAAGAUCUUAUUGAUAAGAUAGAAUGAAAUCUUAAGAUAAAGAAGACGAUGGAUAUG